GUCGUUGCAGUAUAGUGGUGAGUAUUUCCGCCUGUCACGUGGGCGACCCGGGUUCGAUCGCCGGCAACUGCG
rfam:Gossypium arboreum cultivar AKA8401 contig_344_11, whole genome shotgun sequence.